CUCUACGGCCUUGCCACCCUGAAUGUGCCUGAUCUCGGAAGCUAAGCAGGGUCAGGCCUGGUUAGUACUUGGAUGGGAGACCACCUUGGAAUACCAGGUGCUGUAGGCA
rnacentral:rRNA from 1 species